rnacentral:rRNA from 1 species
GAAUCGGGUUAAUAUUCCCGAACCUGGCGUGGGAGAUUGCUUCUUCGGAAGCAAAUGCGGUAACGCAAACUAACAUGGAGAUGUUUCCAAAAGUCCUGGGAAGAGUUGUCUUUUCUUUGUAAGGUACCAAGUCCCUGGAAUCGGUUUAACCGGAGAUAGGGAUUCCGGUACCGUAAAGCACCGCGGCUCUUGCGGUGUCCAGUGCACUUUUGGAAACCCUUGAAAAUCUAUGUUAGAGAUUAUAACUUUCCCGCCAGACCGUACCCAUAUCCGCAGCAGGUCU